rnacentral:lncRNA from 1 species
GCCGGCACAGACUUGGCACAUCUUGUGAGUCAACCCAUGAGUCGACCCCCAAGGCAUGAGUCGACCCAUGAGUCGACCUCUGCGGGUUUUAAGCCAGUUUUACAGAACCUUGCAUCCCGUUCGAUUCUGUGAUGAUUUUCCACAGAGGUCGACCCAUGAGUCGACCCCCAGGCAUGAGUCGACCCCUGUGAUGGGAUUUUUCUACAAUGGC